CCUACGGGGCGCAGCAGUGGGGAAUAUUGGGCACUGGGCGCAAGCCUGACCCAGCAACGCCGCGUGAAGGAAGAAGGCUUUCGGGUUGUAAACUUCUUUUCUCAGGGACGAAGCAAGUGACGGUACCUGAGGAAUAAGCCACGGCUAACUACGUGCCAGCAGCCGCGGGAAUACGUAGGUGGCAAGCGUUAUCCGGAUUUACUGGGGGUAAAGGGCGUGUAGGCGGGACUGCAAGUCAGAUGUGAAAACCAUGGGCUUAACCUAUGGACUGCAUUUGAAACUGUCGUUCUUGAGAACUGGAGAGGCAGACGGAAUUCCUGGUGUAGCGGUGAAAUGCUUAGAGAUUAGGAGGAACACCAGUGGCGAAGGCGGUCUGCUGGACAGCAACUGACGCUGAGGCGCGAAAGCGUGGGGAGCAAACAGGAUUAGAGACCCGAGUAGUC
rnacentral:rRNA from 1 species